rnacentral:tRNA from 1 species
GGCUAGGUGGCGGAGUGGUUAUCGCGCAAGACUAGAAAUCUUGUUCCUUCGGGAGCGUCUGUUCGAAUCAGGCCCUAGUCG